rnacentral:rRNA from 1 species
CCUGGUUGAUCCUGCCAGUAGUCAUAUGCUUGUCUCAAAGAUUAAGCCAUGCAUGUGUAAGUAUGAACAAAUUCAGACUGUGAAACUGCGAAUGGCUCAUUAAAUCAGUUAUAGUUUGUUUGAUGGUAUCUACUACUCGGAUAACCGUAGUAAUUCUAGAGCUAAUACGUGCAACAAACCCCGACUUCUGGAAGGGAUGCAUUUAUUAGAUAAAAGGUCGACGCGGGCUCUGCCCGUUGCUGCGAUGAUUCAUGAUAACUCGACGGAUCGCACGGCCAUCGUGCCGGCGACGCAUCAUUCAAAUUUCUGCCCUAUCAACUUUCGAUGGUAGGAUAGUGGCCUACCAUGGUGGUGACGGGUGACGGAGAAUUAGGGUUCGAUUCCGGAGAGGGAGCCUGAGAAACGGCUACCACAUCCAAGGAAGGCAGCAGGCGCGCCAAUUACCCAAUCCUGACACGGGGAGGUAGUGACAAUAAAUAACAAUACCGGGCUCAAUGAGUCUGGUAAUUGGAAUGAGUACAAUCUAAAUCCCUUAACGAGGAUCAAUUGGAGGGCAAGUCUGGUGCCAGCAGCCGCGGUAAUUCCAGCUCCAAUAGCGUAUAUUUAAGUUGUUGUAGUUAAAAAGCUCGUAGUUGGACUUUGGGAUGGGCCGGCCGGUCCGCCUAUGGUGUGCACCGGUCGUCUCGUCCCUUCUGUCGGCGAUGCGCUCCUGGCGUUAACUGGCCGGGUUGUGCCUCCGGCGCUGUUACUUUCAAGGAAUUAGAGUGCUCAAAGCAAGCCUACGCUCGGGCAGACCUGUGCAUUUCAUGCCAAAAAAACUCAAUGCUUUAGCCUAGGUUCGAUCCCAUGUCAUUGGGGUAAAAGAUAAGUUUAAUUGAUCUUCAAGGCCAACAUGACACAUUGGAAUCUUUUAAUCAAGCUACUCACUUCUUCUUACUUAUAUUGUUAGCAAAUGUCAGCAACCUCAUUUUCAAAAAUUGAAUGUCAAAUGUUGAAAUUAACAUCCUAAUCGGCCUUAUCACAUGAUUUUGAUCUUCAAAUACAUUGUUUUUUAUUCGAUUUUUGCAAAAGUAGAAUGGAAUUUGUGUACCGAAUUGGGGGAAAGUUUCAAUUGAAUGGGAUAAAAGCGGUUUUUAAUGAAAUUGGCUUGACCAAACCGCCUUGCGGCAGUUUGUUCUUAUAGAUCUCGAAAAAAUACGUGAGAUAAAAAAAAAAUGCAUAAAUCGGACAUCCAAGCACAAAGUUAUGACCAUUUAAAGUUUUACAAAUAUACAACUACUUUUUUUUUUCCUUUACCUCCUAAUUACUUGGGUCAAUUUUUAUUUAUGUGGAAAAGGCAAAAAAGCUUACAUGAUACCUCCACUAACAUAAUGCUUAACC